rnacentral:tRNA from 1 species
GACCGCGUGGCGCAAUGGAUAACGCGUCUGCCUUCGGAGCAGAAGAUUGCAGGUUCGAAUCGUGCCGGGGUCG